rnacentral:rRNA from 1 species
UACGGAGGAUCCAAGCGUUAUCCGGAUUUAUUGGGUUUAAAGGGUGCGUAGGUGGCCUGUUAAGUCAGGGGUGAAAGACGGUAGCUUAACUAUCGCAGUGCCUUUGAUACUGACGGGCUUGAAUACACUAGAGGCAGGCGGAAUGUGACAAGUAGCGGUGAAAUGCAUAGAUAUGUCACAGAACACCAAUUGCGAAGGCAGCUUACUAUGGUGUCAUUGACACUGAGGCACGAAAGCGUGGGGAUCAAACAGG